rnacentral:rRNA from 1 species
GAUGAACGCUGGCGGCGUGCUUAACACAUGCAAGUCGAACGGUGAAGCAGGAGCUUGCUCUUGUGGAUCAGUGGCGAACGGGUGAGUAACACGUGAGCAACCUGCCCCUGACUCUGGGAUAAGCGCUGGAAACGGCGUCUAAUACUGGAUAUGUGAUGUGACCGCAUGGUCUGCAUCUGGAAAGAAUUUCGGUUGGGGGUGGGCUAGCGGCCUAUCAGCUUGUUGGUGAGGUAAUGGCUCACCAAGGCGUCGACGGGUAGCCGGCCUGAGAGGGUGACGGGCCACAGUGGGACUGGGAGACUGCCCAGAAGCCUACGGGAGGCAGCAGUGGGGAAUAUUGCGCAAUGGUGGGAGGGCUGCUGCAGCAGCGCCGCCUAAGGGAUUACGGCCUUCGGGUUGUAAACCUCUGUUAGCAGGGAAGAAGCGAAAGUGACGGUACCUGCAGAAAAAGCACCGGCUAACUACGGGCCAGCCGCCGCGGUAA